UAGCUAAUCUGCCCUACCACUAGAGGACAACAGUUGGAAACGGCUGCUAAUACUCUAUACUCCUGUCUUACAUAAGUUAGAUAGGGAAAGUUUUUCGGUGUAGGAUGAGGCUAUAUUGUAUCAGCUAGUUGGUGAGGUAAUGGCUCACCAAGGCUAUGACGCAUAACUGGUCUGAGAGGAUGAUCAGUCACACUGGAACUGAGACACGGUCCAG
rnacentral:rRNA from 1 species